UGCCCUACGGGAGGCAGCAGUGGGGAAUAUUGCACAAUGGGGGAAACCCUGAUGCAGCGACGCCGCGUGAGUGAAGAAGUAUUUCGGUAUGUAAAGCUCUAUCAGCAGGGAAGAUAAUGACGGUACCUGACUAAGAAGCUCCGGCUAAAUACGUGCCAGCAGCCGCGGUAAUACGUAUGGAGCAAGCGUUAUCCGGAUUUACUGGGUGUAAAGGGAGCGUAGACGGCAGGGCAAGUCUGGAGUGAAAGGCAGGGGCCCAACCCCUGGACUGCUCUGGAAACUGUCCGGCUGGAGUGCAGGAGAGG
rnacentral:rRNA from 1 species